rnacentral:rRNA from 1 species
UGCAGUCGGACGGGAUUGAGGAGCUUGCUUCUCAUGAGAGUGGCGCACGGGUGCGUAACACGUAUGUAACCUACCUUGUUCAGGGGGAUAGCCUCUCGAAAGAGAGAUUAACACCGCAUAAAAUCAAUUUAUGGCAUCAUAGAAUGAUCAAAUAUUUAUAGGAACAAGAUGGGCAUGCGGAACAUUAGCUAGUUGGUAAGGUAACGGCUUACCAAGGCUACGAUGUUUAGGGGAUCUGAGAGGAUGACCCCCCACACUGGUACUGAGACACGGACCAGACUCCUACGGGAGGCAGCAGUAAGGAAUAUUGGUCAAUGGACGCAAGUCUGAACCAGCCAUGCCGCGUGCAGGAAGACGGCCCUACGGGUUGUAAACUGCUUUUGUACCGGAAUAAACCUUUUCACGUGUGAGAAGCUGAAUGUACGGUAAGAAUAAGGAUCGGCUAACUCCAUGCCAGCAGCCGCGGUAAUACGGAGGAUCCAAGCGUUAUCCGGAUUUAUUGGGUUUAAAGGGUGCGUAGGUGGCCUAUUAAGUCAGGGGUGAAAGACGGUAGCUUAACUAUCGCAGUGCCUUUGAUACUGAUGGGCUUGAAUACACUUGAGGUAGGCGGAAUGUGACAAGUAGCGGUGAAAUGCAUAGAUAUGUCACAGAACACCAAUUGCGAAGGCAGCUUACUAAAGUGUUAUUGACACUGAGGCACGAAAGCGUGGGGAUCAAACAGGAUUAGAUACCCUGGUAGUCCACGCCCUAAACGAUGAAUACUCGAUGUUGGCGAUAUACGGUCAGCGUCUAAGCGAAAGCGUUAAGUAUUCCACCUGGGGAGUACGCCCGCAAGGGUGAAACUCAAAGGAAUUGACGGGGGCCCGCACAAGCGGA